rnacentral:lncRNA from 1 species
GUUCUGAGUAGCUGGGCUGACAUCCAAAAAGGGGUACCCCAAGGUUCUAUAUUGGGGCCCCUUUUAUUUAAUAUCUUCAUAAAUGAUAUUUUUUAUUUUGUUAAACAUGGUACAUUAUAUAAUUAUGCGGACGACAAUACUCUGUCUUUUAGUAGUCCGGAUUAUGACCAUCUCAUAUCAACAUUAGAAUCUGAGUCUCAAGUGCUAAUUGAUUGGUUUAAAGAAAAUAAGAUGCAG